rnacentral:lncRNA from 1 species
GGGAUCCAGGGUCCCAGAAGGAGUGUUUGACAAACUUUAAACAGAAAUGGGUUUGAUCCCAGAGUUGCCUUUUUCUGAGAUGGCCCAGGAGUGGUUUUGCUCAAUCAUCUGUGCCUCUGACCAGCUGGACUGUUAACUUGAAUGUGGACUUGUGUUUCUUCUUCGUAUUGACUCUAGGAAGCCGCAUUCCAUUCCAUUCACCCUCGGGAAGUGCAGGAGACCUGCUGCCUAAAUUCUGAGGGCUACCCUCCCAUCUGGUUCCACAUUUUUUUUUUCCCUGCCUUAAUUUUGGUGUCUCCCAGAUUUCUUCACUGAUAAAUACAGUUCAACACCAUUGUAAAUCACCUCUAAUCUUUUUCUAAAGAGGCAGAGCAGUGGGGAAAAAAGGAUGAAUAAAUAAUAAGUUGUUCAUCUGGAAAGAAGAAAACACACUAGAUACCUUUAAUUCCUUCUCAUUA